GACACUAGGGCAAAGGUGAGAGGCAGACAAGUAGAACGGGGACUGGAGCAUGGAAGAGAAGUGAAAGCUAGCGUUCCUGGAGCUCCCUGCCAGGGACGACUGAUCGAAGUGAGGGUGUGGGUGACAGAUCUUCACAGGAGAGUUAAGCUUGCCAUUGAGAAGAAGAGAAAGCAAGGAGAGAGAUGAAAGCAGCCCUGUGUGUCUGGAGAGGUUACCGCCAGGAAAACCCUUCACAAGCUGUCGAGUACUGCAAGGACUCAAGCUGAUGAGAAGCAGAGGAACGAACAGCUGCUGUGGAGAAGGUCAUGGGAGUCCUUUCCUGAACCAAGAUGUUCAUUUGGGAGGUCAGACCCUGAGGCUGGAGGAAGUCAGGGACCAUCAUGACAGGAGGUCAAGCACCCAACACCUGUAAUCACAAUGGUUUCUCCCAAGGAUCUUGAGAGGUCCGAUGGGAACAUAAAAUAUAUUAUUCCAAAAGAGAUCACUCCCCCAACUAAUUCCUUCUGCCACACACGGAGAGAAAGAAAACCACACGCAAGCCAACAGCAUGGAACUUCUCCAGCGAGCCUCUGACCACCAUGUUUGAAGGCCUCACAUAUAGUCGUGGGGAUCACAAUAUUUGCGGAGAUUUCCCAGCAGAAGAAUUGAGAUGGAUGAUAAUAUGGGAGAAAAAUGUUCCACGGUGGCCAGCUUGUGUUCUUCUGGAGAGCUGUUUGCACACACAUCUAGAGGCCGCCGAGAGCCCCAGUUGGCUCACACAGUGGGUGGGGAGGUCACGCUGCUCCCUGGGAGCCAGGAUGGAGUGACCUCUGUCUUUUGAUCCCUGCCCCCGCCCCCGGGAGGAUGCGACUUAUGCUGGCUCAUGUCCUGCCACAGGCUGUCACCUCAGAUGGCCUCACUGAGGCCUGCUGGAGUUACUGGCAAGUUUGCAUCAGCCUGGUUCCACAAUGCCCUCGUGUGUCUCCCCUCGGGGGGUACGAACUCUGACACUGCCACCACGGGGCUGUGGAAACUACUGGGAAAAGUGUAGUAGAGAUAUCUCUUUUUUUUUUUUACAUGACACUUUUUUGACCUCGCUCACAAAGUCUCUCCUCAAUGAAAAAGCAAGAGGGCCUGAGUAUGGGAAGAAAAGUCUAAAACACUAGUGUCUCCAGGGGAAUGUUCCUCCAGAGGAAUUCAAGAUUACAGUGGGACUCAUGCUCCCUGGGAGCAGUUUCUUUUCUAAUAAUGAACCUAUAGAAUCACAAAAUCAGACCGUAUGUAAGCAUUUUGCAUGUAUUCAUCAUCACUCCUAGGUGUUACAAAUAUAUUAUGUUUACAUCUAAGGUAUUACAACCAAAUGAUGAGAGCCUUUACUUCUGUGUGCUUCUUAUUCUUCCACACCAGAGUCCCUCCUGCCUGACGUGUGGAAGGAUAAUGGACAUGCUGGUCCGACGUGAAAGGAAACUGUGGUCCAGACUUCAGGAAAAAGAUAUAGUAACGGAAAUUUGCAUACAGGAAGUUUAUUGUAAAGUGGUCUCAGGAAUAAAAAUUGUGAGGAGUUAAGGAAGCAGGAUUGGGCAAGAGAAGUUGAACCAUGGGGAAAUUACAAGAAAGUCUUCAGCAGAUCCCAUCGAAGCUCGGGAGCUUGGAUAAUCCUUCAGCAUUGUCCCAAAUUCAGGCCAAGAUAAUGAGAAGACAAGCCAUAGACUGAGAAAGAUAUUCGCAAGAGAUAAAGGACUGUUAUCUAAAACAGACAAAGGACUUAAAAAAAAACUCAACUGUAAUACAAGACUUUUCUUCGCUGUUUCUUUCCCAGCUUCUCUCUGGUCAACCAGCUGCGAACGUUUUAGCUUGUAUCUCCCAAGAAGCUAUAUUAGAGCCUUCUCUGAAUUUUUUACCACCAAAACUCCACUGUUUUGAGAAUGCCCUUAGACUUGAACUUCCCCACACUCUCUCUCUAAUAAAGUUAGUUGCUCUGGGGAGAGCUUUAGCACUCUCUGUUCAAAGUCCUGUCUGUACCCCUAGCCAAAAUAUCUGAGCCAGAGCCCUGAAGCUGGGGGCAGGGACAGUGGCCUGCUUCUUUUGGAGUGACACCACACUUCACGAGCAGGGCACUGCGUGUGGGCAGUAGCCUCUGCUCUUCUCAGCUUGUUUCUCUCACGAUGGAGCCUCCAUCCUACAAACGAGCUGGGUUGAGAAAAAUCAUGACGCCGGUAUUCCCAGCAUGCCAUCCCUAAGGUCAAGCAUCUGCCCUAUGGAUGGGGGCUAGGUGGGCUACACUUACCUGGAAUUUAGCCUCUGCAGCAUGUAGCUGACAAGAUGAGAUAUUCUCAUGGCCGGUUCCUCCCAGGGAGAUAACACAGUCCUCAACUGAAAGCUGGGAAAGAGGGAGCGGAGUUUCCGUCACACUGAGCUGGGAGCAGGGAG